rnacentral:rRNA from 1 species
ACACAUGCAGUCGAGCGGAACGAGUUAUCUGAACCUUCGGGGAACGAUAACGGCGUCGAGCGGCGGACGGGUGAGUAAUGCCUAGGAAAUUGCCCUGAUGUGGGGGAUAACCAUUGGAAACGAUGGCUAAUACCGCAUAAUGCCUACGGGCCAAAGAGGGGGACCUUCGGGCCUCUCGCGUCAGGAUAUGCCUAGGUGGGAUUAGCUAGUUGGUGAGGUAAGGGCUCACCAAGGCGACGAUCCCUAGCUGGUCUGAGAGGAUGAUCAGCCACACUGGAACUGAGACACGGUCCAGACUCCUACGGGAGGCAGCAGUGGGGAAUAUUGCACAAUGGGCGCAAGCCUGAUGCAGCCAUGCCGCGUGUGUGAAGAAGGCCUUCGGGUUGUAAAGCACUUUCAGUCGUGAGGAAGGUAGUGUAGUUAAUAGCUGCAUUAUUUGACGUUAGCGACAGAAGAAGCACCGGCUAACUCCGUGCCAGCAGCCGCGGUAAUACGGAGGGUGCGAGCGUUAAUCGGAAUUACUGGGCGUAAAGCGCAUGCAGGUGGUUUGUUAAGUCAGAUGUGAAAGCCCGGGGCUCAACCUCGGAAUUGCAUUUGAAACUGGCAGACUAGAGUACUGUAGAGGGGGGUAGAAUUUCAGGUGUAGCGGUGAAAUGCGUAGAGAUCUGAAGGAAUACCGGUGGCGAAGGCGGCCCCCUGGACAGAUACUGACACUCAGAUGCGAAAGCGUGGGGAGCAAACAGGAUUAGAUACCCUGGUAGUCCACGCCGUAAACGAUGUCUACUUGGAGGUUGUGGCCUUGAGCCGUGGCUUUCGGAGCUAACGCGUUAAGUAGACCGCCUGGGGAGUACGGUCGCAAGAUUAAAACUCAAAUGAAUUGACGGGGGCCCGCACAAGCGGUGGAGCAUGUGGUUUAAUUCGAUGCAACGCGAAGAACCUUACCUACUCUUGACAUCCAGAGAACUUUCCAGAGAUGGAUUGGUGCCUUCGGGAACUCUGAGACAGGUGCUGCAUGGCUGUCGUCAGCUCGUGUUGUGAAAUGUUGGGUUAAGUCCCGCACCAACGCCACCCUUAUCCUUGUUUGCCAGCGAGUAAUGUCGGAACUCCAGGAAAACGCCGGGGAAAAACCGAAGAAGGGGGGAACAACUCCAGUCCUCUGGGCCUUUAAAAAAG